GUCUGACGGUCGAAUGGCGUAGUGGUUAGUGACCCUGACUGCUAUGCCGAAGGUCCCGGGUUCGAUUCCCGGCUGGGGCA
rnacentral:tRNA from 1 species